GACGAACGCUGGCGGCGUGCUUAACACAUGCAAGUCGAACGGAAAGGCCCUGCUUUUGUGGGGUGCUCGAGUGGCGAACGGGUGAGUAACACGUGAGUAACCUGCCCUUGACUUUGGGAUAACUUCAGGAAACUGGGGCGAAUACCGGAUAGGAGCUCCUGCUGCAUGGUGGGGGUUGGAAAGUUUCGGCGGUUGUGGAUGGACUCGCGGCUUAUCAGCUUGUUGGUGGGGUAGUGGCUUACCAAGGCUGCGACGGGUAGCCGGCCUGAGAGGGUGACCGGCCACAUUGGGACUGAGAUACGGCGCAGACUCCUACGGGAGGCAGCAGUGGGGAAUAUUGCACAAUGAGCGGAAGCCUGAUGCAGAAACGCCGCGUGCGGGAUGACGGCCUUCGGGUUGUAAACCGCUUUCGCCUGUGACGAAGCGUGAGUGACGGUAAUGGGUAAAGAAGCACCGGCUAACUACGUG
rnacentral:rRNA from 1 species